rnacentral:rRNA from 1 species
UAGGGAAUCUUCGGCAAUGGGGGGAACCCUGACCGAGCAACGCCGCGUGAGUGAAGAAGGUUUUCGGAUCGUAAAGCUCUGUUGUUAAGGAAGAACGAGUGUGAGAAUGGAAAGUUCAUACUGUGACGGUACUUAACCAGAAAGGGACGGCUAACUACGUGCCAGCAGCCGCGGUAAUACGUAGGUCCCGAGCGUUGUCCGGAUUUAUUGGGCGUAAAGCGAGCGCAGGCGGUUAGAAGAGUCUGAAGUGAAAGGCAGUGGCUCAACCAUUGUAGGCUUUGGAAACUGUUUAACUUGGGUGCAGAAGGGGAGAGUGGAAUUCCAUGUGUAGCGGUGAAAUGCGUAGAUAUAUGGAGGAACACCGGUGGCGAAAGCGGCUCUCUGGUCUGUAACUGACGCUGAGGCUCGAAAGCGUGGGGAGCGAACAGG